UAGUAAAAGACUCGACUGUAGUGAGGCUCCACUCAAAAGGUUCUCCGCAUUCCUUUACGCUAAGCUCUUGUUUUUCCUUACACGGAUCAGUCGGUACAAACACGUCUGGUGAAGUUGUUGGGCACUUUUAUGUGCAAGUCGGGGACAAAGCGACGGUCGGGGAAGAAGUUGCCUCCCGCAUCGCCGGCAUCGGAGCCUCAACGGACUUCACAGACACCCACACCAGCAUUUAUGUUACAAAAGUCGCAGGUCAAUUCACAGCCACCACGACGACGGGACAAGCGGACCCAGAAAGAACGAGGCCUGCCCUACCGCCGCCGUCGUUGUCAUGGCGUCAACGCAACAUACUUCCUCUGGGUGACCGCACAAGAAGUGGGUCACCUGUUUUUGGGCGACGACCACAUCCUCAGCGGGAGUCUGCGGCGGGCUCGGGUUUUUGUUUCAGAAAAAAUUCCGUUGCACAAAAAAAAUAAAUAAA